GAUGAACGCUGGCGGCGUGCCUAAUACAUGCAAGUCGAGCGAACGGACGAGAAGCUUGCUUUUCUGAUGUUAGCGGCGGACGGGUGAGUAACACGUGGAUAGCCUACCUAUAAGACUGGGAUAACUUCGGGAAACCGGAGCUAAUACCGGAUAAUAUUUUGAACCGCAUGGUUCAAAAGUGAAAGACGGUCUUGCUGUCACUUAUAGAUGGAUCCGCGCUGCAUUAGCUAGUUGGUAAGGUAACGGCUUACCAAGGCAACGAUGCAUAGCCGACCUGAGAGGGUGAUCGGCCACACUGGAACUGAGACACGGUCCAGACUCCUACGGGAGGCAGCAGUAGGGAAUCUUCCGCAAUGGGCGAAAGCCUGACGGAGCAACGCCGCGUCAGUGAUGAAGGUCUUCGGAUCGUAAAACUCUGUUAUUAGGGAAGAACAUAUGUGUAAGUAACUGUGCACAUCUUGACGGUACCUAAUCAGAAAGCCACGGCUAACUACGUG
rnacentral:rRNA from 1 species